rnacentral:rRNA from 1 species
GCCUGCCCAAUGAUUAUUUUAAUGGCUGCAGUAUUUUGACUGUACAAAGGUAGCAUAAUCACUUGUCUCUUGAUUGGAGUCUGGAAUGAAUGGUUUGAUGAAAAAUUUACUUUCUUUAUUUUUGAUUGGGAAUUUGAUUUUUGGGUUAAAAAGCCUAAAUGAUAAUAUAGGACGAGAAGACCCUAUAGAGCUUGACUUUUUUUGAUGUGUUUUUUCUGAUUGUAUAUGUAUUGAUUUAUAUAUUGAUUAAAGUUUUGUUGGGGUGAUAGAAAAAAUUUCGUAACUUUUUUUGUUUUAAGCAUUUGUUUAUGUUUUGUUUGAUCCUGUUUUAUGGAAAAAAGGCGAAGCUACCUUAGGGAUAACAGCGUUAUUGUUUUUGAGAGUUCAUAUCGAUAAAAUAGUUUGCGACCUCGAUGUUGGAUUAAAAUAAAUACCAGGGGUAGAAUAUUGGUAUAU